ensembl:lncRNA
CAUUCUGGGUUAUUCUCCUAGAUACAUAAUUUAUUAGGAUACUUUACAUUUUAAAAGAGACCUCAGAAUAAGCUUCUUAUUGCCCUUCAAGUAUUGCCAGCGCUACCCAUCAGGAAACCCUGACCUUAAAAUCGUGAAUGUAAAGUAAUAUCUUUUUUUUUUUUUUUUGUGGAUUUAUUUUCUAUGAGCUUGUCCAGGUGUGUUUUUCCCCCUUGGCAGUUCAUGCGGGUUAGCUGCCUUGUGUUCAUGAUUCCUUAUCCGUGUCCCUCCCAGCGAGAGAAGGAAACAACAGAAUUGAAUGGAUUUUGGUGUGGUCCUCCUGAACUGGAGCUGAAAGCUGACCUGUGAUGGGCAAUCCAGCCCUUUAAAUAAAGCCAGGGGAAAACAUUUCUGGUCUGGAGUCAGGCCUGAAUUAGAAGUUACGGGUCAUUAGUCUCUUUUUUAAACCAUGCCUAGGGUUGGGUAGGGAUCAGCAAUGAGCAGAUGGCAAGGUACUAGACUGAAGGAGACAUUUGACUUUUUGCUUGCAUUGCAAGUGCAAGGUUAUGAUGCGGCGUUCCCAUUCCUGCUGAAAUGUUGUUGGCAGUCUCAGGGAACAAGUAGCCCAGGGAGCUGUGCUCAGGGGGACAGCCAGGUGGGCAGGCAGAGUCACUUCUGGGAAUGGCUUUCACCUGGUCUCAUUUUGGCCAGGUGCUGCCUGUUUUCUCCUGCAUGCCCUUUUUUGCUGCAGCAGGAGGUUAGCAGAGAGUAAUUUUGAAGAAAGGUAUUGUGGAGGUAGAAGUAUUUUUUUUUCUCUUUGAAACAUUAUGAAAUUUUAUAUUUACCUUUACAAGAUCUAUAUCAGAAGAGAUGGAGCUAUCUGGGAAGAUUUUUGUUUGUGUGAUGUGUUUGUUGUGGUGCAGUGCUGUGGGAGACUUUGUGCAUGGCUGCAGAGAUUUAACUUACCGUGAACUAAGCCUUGAUCUUACUCCAGCUUCUGUUGAGCUGAAUCCUCUAGAGGCCCCCAGAAGCAGUAAGUCUGUGUGGGCAGCGGCUGCAGUGACAAGAAUCUUUCUUCCAAGAGGUCAUCAAGUCCCAAUUAUUCCUUUGGCUGCUCUGAAGUCUUCACACACAGUCAUUCCAAUGGAAAGUUGGACAAAUGACAGCAGCAGCACAGUUAAAUUUUUAAGCAUCUUGAAACAGGGACUGUCCUUGAGACUUCUGGAAGGCAUGUGGGAUGAAGGGUGUGCAGAGGAAUUAAAUGAGUGCCACCUCAGGCUCUGCAUCAAAUACCAGAAGCCCCAAGUCUUGGCACAUGCAGCAUUUUCAGGAGAAGAAUUGCAAACAGAACAGAAAUGUGCUUCUGCCACUGUAUGGUUCAGAGUAUUCCUGUAA